CGCCCAGCGACUCCCUUACGGCCGGCGGGAGCCGCUCCGCAGGGGAGAAGCCGCCCCGUGAGGGGCCCCCGUCCCGCCGCCCGGCCAUUUUGUGCUCCCCGCGGCGGCUCGUCGUCCCGCUCCGAAGCGCCGGUCCUCCGGUGCCUCCGCCUCACAGAGCCCCCUCGGGGGGCGGCGGCAGCCCCCGCUGGAGAACCGCGAUUAAAAUCAAUAAACUCGGUCGUUUUAUCGAGCAACAUUCAGAUGGUUUGGUAGGAAAACUGUGCCUCCUGGUGGAGAGUAUAUGAAAUAUAAGUGCGUGUUUCCUUCGGAGGAAAGUGGAGCAUUUGCUGGCCAAUAUCCAUGGCAGAGCCUCCUAGGUGUAACGCAAACCUUCCUGACAGAAGAAGUCAUACCAGAAUAUCACCAGUUGUGCUUCAUUCUUGAGGCCUGAUCUAACAGCAUGUAUUGAAAUAAACACAGUUUUCCUACU